CGUGUAGGGGAGGGCAUCUCUUGGAGCUUCUAGAGAAGGAGUGCUGCACGGCCACAGAGCUGCUUCACCAGUGGGGUCUAUCCAUGAUGUCACCAGCAGCAAUUUACCUUCUCUCCAACCUUGCUGUGGGCAAGUGACUGCUGAAAAGGUUGAUCUGCUGUUCCUCGGGUAAAGCCCAGCAGCUUUGGUGCAGAGGAGGGGUGAUGUCUUUGAUGACUUCAUUGCCUUAAGCAGUGAGAUAUGGAAGAGGAACUUGACUGCGACUGAUCCAGCGCUUUUUGGCUGCAAGUGGAGAAGUGAUACUGAGAAACUGAGUCUCUCCGGUCUGUUGGAAAUUAUUACAAAGAUGUUAUGGUAGAUGUUGGCCUAAUGGGACAAACUGAGGUGUAAUGGGAUAGAUUUCUUCUUCUGAGUAUAUACAAUCCCCACGGUAGCAGUUAAUUACAAGUAGUAACCUCCAAGAGCCUGAUGGGUACGCUGUGGCACUAUGUGUUAUGCCUGCGCUGCCAAGGAGGACCAUUACUGCCCACAGCACAGGGAUGAUCUGGAGUACACAAAUGGAUGCCAGAACUGAGCAAAGAAUGGAAUGCUCCCUGCCGAUGUGAGACCAGGACACCUUGUGACCGUGGGACAGCCACUGUCAACCCCACCAGGGAAAACAUCAGCACAGAAAAUAAGGAGAUGUCACACUCAGUGUGGGGAGUGGGCGUUCUUCUGUGAGCUCCCCACCACCACAUGAACUGACUGCAAAGGAGAAGGAAUUCAAGGACAGAAAGGUUCCUCCCCAGGAAUCGCACAUCUGCUGGGUUAAGUCUGAAUUUUGAUAUCUACAUCUUCAGAAACAUUGACCUGUGGUCUCAGCUGUGACAGAAAACGGAGACCUGGUGACAUGCUGCUGAAGUCUCCAAUAACACAUCAUGCCUGCAGUGCCUGCUGAAAACCCACCGAAAGGCAGCAGGAAGAGUGGGGGGGAAUUCAGCCUCAUCCCAGUCUCAGCUGUGAAACAAGCAGGGUGCUCACACGUGUGUGCUUUGCUCCCAUCCGCAAUGAGAAGACAACCCUGCCUGUCCCAGCACACAGCUCCGUGUAUGUAUGGAGAGAACACUAAGCAAAGCCAUGAACAAGGCUUCCCCGAGCAGUACUGGUGGCUCAGCGGCUGUGCUGCUACAAGUUUGAUGACAGUUGUCAGUGACCGUCGUGCCUGAGUGGGCCAGCUGAAGGUGCAGGGAGGACACGCUGAAGGCAUUGACAAGGCAGCACAGAAGUGAAUCUGACCUGACUGUCCACGUGGAGUUUGGCACCUGCACUGACAUUCAACCUCCCCCAACCUCUGUCUCAGUGAAAUCAAGAGACAUCCUGGUUCCUUUCCUCCCCAGCAUGCACCCUGGCAAUGGAGAAAGGGGAAAUUCCUUGUGCUCCACGCAAAGAAACAUGAGAGAUCUGUGUGGUCAGUACGGACAUGGAGAGUCAGGCCUGCCUGAGCUAUGGGCUCAUGGGAUGCAAGACGCCUGUCUGGAAGCUGCAGAACAGAUGAUGGAGGCCACCAGGAUGAAACAAGUAAGAGAGCUGACCAAAUGCUCUUGAACACCACUGUCCAGUCAGUUUCAAAAGUGAAGCAUUCCCCUUGGCAUAACACACUGUCAAAACCACAUCUGCAGGCCUAGAGCCUGGAAACCAGAGCCUCUGUGAAUCUGUGGCCAGAAGCAGGACUUUGUGGACAUCUGUUAGUGGCUGUUUCCAGCACAGACAGGGCCUGGUACCAAGAGUAACUGCUGAAGUCUCCAGUGCUACAGCAACUGAAGAGCAAAAUUGGGUGCCUGGAGGAAAAGUAGUCUGGUUCAACUGAGCUCUGUCUGAAAAGCAGGUUACCGUGGCUUAAUGAAUUAUCCUGAGUUUGCAGAACAACGUGUUCCCUUACCUGAAAGGGCCCUGGUUUGCAUGCUGAUACAUUGCAUGACUGACGGACUGAUCAUCUUGUUGGUUUGACUUCCCAGAGCUGGAGGAAUCAAGACCAUCCGUGGCUGAUAAGCCAGGAACCGCCGACUUGGCUAAGCCACAGAAUCCCAAUGGAUUCCAAUGGAGUCAACAAAUGGAGCUGUCGCUGUAACCUGACACGUAAAGGGGGCGAGAUGCACGACAUGGAGCAGCACCCACAUCGAUCUAUCUCAUCAUUCACAUGCAGGAAAUCAAUCAGAGAGUGGUGCAAUUCACAUGAAAAUAAGACAUAAUGCAGCAGAGGCCCUGGGUCCCAGGGUGAGACAUGAUACUAAGAUGCAAGGCCCAGCAGAAGACAACUCAAGCUUGGUGGUUCUCCAGUGAAAAAUAUGGAUACGAAGAUGAUCUCACAUCACUUGUGAUUUCUGGCAGAUUUGAUCAAUGCUUGGAGAGUUUGGGCUACUGAUUUAGCUUUUACCUUGGGAAAGUGAAAGAAGGUGCAGGUCUAAAUCACUGCACAAUUGCAUCUGCUGGAUUUCCUGCAAUGGCUCUGAGCUCCUUUGGAGGAAAGUCAGUUUACGUCUUCUCCAUCGCUUCUUCCAUCUGUCCUUAUCUGCCCUUAUAUCGUGAGGGAGACUGAAGGUUGCUCUCAGGACCCAUCAACUCCAUGAAGCUGAGUCAUGUAUCGUACGCAGUGGUAAGUUGCUUGAUGGGCCUUCGUUACAGAGCCAGUCUGAGUCCCAAGGUGAGAUCUGAGCACUAAUUUGACACUUCUCUUAAAGCAACGCUGUGUACUUCACCCUUGUCAAUACUAGAUGUGUCUUGUAUUAUGAAUGGCAAUAAUAUAAAUGAUUGAUUAAGGUUAUUCCAAGAAUUUAAUAUAGGCAUCACAUGUGAACUCUUAUGGUAUGGCAUCAGCAAGAAAAGCAGUUUCAAAAGUGGACUCAGAUCUCAUGUCCCAAAAUGCAUGAUUUACGAAACGUACUUUGUUGGUUUGUUUUGGUGUUCUAGAGGCUGAGAAUCUUGAAGAAAAUGUCUGACUACUUGAAAUCAUUCCUUGUUCACUUCGUUAUCCAUAGUGUUGUUGCAAGUUGGAUCUGACGUGCUCCUUGAGCAGCUGUAGUCCCUGGUGGCGUGUUGCAGUAAUUUCUUUAUGUGUUCAGGAGGUGUUCCAGUGAAACUGAACCUCUGCAUCAUGCUCAAGAGGUAAAGCACAGGGACCUGGCUGUGCUAGGGGACAGUAUUGAGAGGCUGGCUCACAGGCCAGUGAGUGGGUGGGGAGCUGAGUGACCGCUAUUCAGGUUUCAUGAACUAAAGCUUGCUUGUGAGUGAGAGCUGUGUGAUCACUGAAUUAAAUCCCUUGGUGUCUGGAGUCUCCUGGCAAGAGCUCAGUAGGUCCUGGGCUGUGCAGCCUGGCUUGAGAGGGAGGAGGAAUGUUGGGGGGUUAUGAUGAGACUUGUAAGCAUCGCAGCCCUAUCCAUGGACAAUCUCACUUCACUUUGUGUAUUGUCGUUGUCCUUUCCAACAGCUGCAUCUUUCAAAACUGGAAGAUCAGUAUUUUUCUCUUCAUUUUGAGUUUUGAUAUUAUUUUUUUUCAUUUAAGGAGAAAUAAAAUCAAAAUAAGUGAUUAUCUGGCAUUAGUAUGCUUCCACUAACUGCUGCUGUCCACGUUUCUAAGAACUGUAAUGCAAAUCCCCUGCUAGCAAGAAGAAUUCGUUGUUCCCCACUGUUUGUUCUUUGAUCCGUAUUAGGGCUGAUGUGUGAAACAAAGGAAGGAGGAAUGUUUGAUUUCUCUUAAACUUGGGCGACCCUACAAAAGAGACAGUAGAAACAAGGUCUUUGCUAAUAAACUGAGCAGAAGUGAUGUAAAUACUUCUGAACAUCAGAUUCUAGAUAGUGAUCAAGCAAACUGAACACAGUGGCUGUUUGUUCUUUGAUGUUUGAGGUGGGAAAAGCCAACGUUUGACAUCACGUUGAAAAAAUACUGCCCUGUUUCUUGUCCCUGAUAGCAGGUGGUGCAGGAACUCGACCUUCAAACCGUUUUGUCACCUUCUGUUCUUCCCAUAAACCAGUUUUUUGUGGCGUUCUGCCUUGAUGUGAUUAAACUACAGCUUCAUUCACUUAUUUUGUUUCCCGUGAAACAGAGCAGCACAAGGAUGGCAGAAAACAGCUGUGUGAGGCUGUAGCGUAGAACUGAUCGUAUCACAGGAUGUCUCAUCUUCCUGAACACGGGUGAAGAUCUGAAUCUCAAGUGUCAUUCAGCACCCACCCUCACCCCGCUUCCAGAAACUUAUAGCAGGUCUAUUUUCUCUAGUACUUCCGUCUCCCAGCAUAUGGCACACAUUUCUUGCUCAGCUCUCCUCCAUCCCCAGCAUUUCUGGCUGCUGUGAGGAUGCCGGGUCUCAGCAGAGUGCGUUGGCUUUGCAGCAGCUGCAAUCCAGUUUUCUGCUCUUGCUCUCUGCUGUACUGAGGGAGAGUGGCAAAGGUGAUGGUCUGGGGACUGCUACUUAGACACCAAGCAGAGGCCAAUAACAAAGAUGCAUUUAUAGUUAUUUUUAUGCAGUGCUGUGGCCGAUACAAAUUUCUGAAGUCUGUACAGUGCUUUUCACCCAGGGUAAUUGAUGUACAGGCUCUGUCAGACCUUUCAAAUCAGCAGUGCCUCGGGCUUGGUGGUGCUGUCUCUUCCCUUUACCCCUAGCUUUUCUCAGUCUCAUGCAGUUCAAUACUUGCAUCUCCCUCAUUUCUGCUGUGCCGUUUGGCUCCAGUUGUGCUAAAGCCCAGAGGCCAAUCCAUUAUGAAAAUCAGCUAGUAGCAGCAGCAGGCACCAUUAGCUAAAGAGCAGCUUUCUGCCACAGGGAAACAUCCCUAUGUCACACAGUCCUGGAAGGGAGUGGUCAUGCAGCUUCCUCUGAGCCUCUGUUGGCCAUCAGGGAAGGAGAUGAUACAAGAUGUGUGCCCUCUUCAUUGCACCUGUCCUGUUGUUUAGGAGAGAGAUCGCUCCCUCUGCAGGUAGGCAGUGUUGCUUUUGCAACGUGGAAGUCAAUUUUCUGGUAGUCAAUCAGAUUUUGAUUGAGUGCUUUUCAGGUCAUGAGAUGUAAUUCUAAUAGCAGCCAAUUAUCUGUUUUAAAAGAUGCCUCUUAAAAAGGACCUCUUCUCAAAAGGCUUUGAAGAUCUCUAAGCUCCUAACAGGCUGCAUUCUUUUAGUAAAAUGAAAGCAGAAUUCCCUAUUGCCUCCCACCCAGAGGAGAUGAAGGGGAGAUGCCCAUGAAGAUGAACUCUGCCUCCUCUUUGGGAGCAUGGUGAAGGACUGCACAGAGCUGGCACUGCUGGGGCACCCCCUGCACUGGACACAGUUGUGAAUUGAGGAUGAGUAUCACUGAUAAAAUGGAGGUCAACAACUGAACGGCAUCUCGUGGAAAAGAUUCGGAGGCUGCAGGAUCUGCGUGAUGCUGCAUCCAUCUGGGACUGAAAUGGCUCCUGCAAAAAAAAGAAGGUGACCUCAAAACCAAACCUGUCUGAAGGUUUUCGUGGGGCUGGAAUCAGUGGAUGCUGAAGUAGCUCUUAGCUGUGCCAGGAGGCCUCUUAGCGACCAGCACUUAUACAGGCUCACACAUCUCCCACAUCGAAAUCGGCAUUCUUGGAUCCGCUGAGUUUUGAUCCACAGUGAGAUAAGGCCUAAGGGAACUCUCUCUGGAGUGUAUUUCAUUUUGUUCUCUGAAUCAAGAGACGGAGCCCAAAGCAAGACCUGUGGAUGUGAAGAAAUGGGCUCUGAAAGCGCCUGUCCCGCACGUCCCUGCUGUUUGAGACACGGUGAAGCCUGUGCUGGUGGCAGUCACAAGAAGAGCUGUCUGUGCUCAGGUGGCUUCCAGGGCUGUCUGUGCUCAGGGAAAGGAAACAUCCUCCAUUGUUUCUCCCCUAUAUUUGACUGAAAUGAAGCUGCCCGCCUGCACAGCGGUACCCACCUCUGAAUAGUUUGCUAUUCUGGGCCCUGUGCAAUUUGGAGACUGACACCUUAACUGUUGGAGCACCAACCACUUCACAGAGCUCUCCCAGGCACUGCAGUCCCUGCUUCCUGCAUGGAAAGCAUCACCGAUACCAAGCAAGUGGAGAGGGCGGCCUUUCAUAGGAUCAUAGCCUUCAGGACUCUGGGGUGCCACAACUCCUGUUUGAAACAUAUAAUUGCUGUGGCAUUCAGUGCAACUGACGACAGGGAAGCUCGAACCUGGCAACUGCUACCUUAAAAAGUAAUAGAAGAAGGAAGCAAAAACCCCUGGGGAAGCUGUGCAUACAUAGCAAAGGAGGAGCAAUGGGCUUGCAUUGGUAAACUGCUCCAUAGGGCACCCAUUCAGUGCUAUAAAGAAGGUAUCCAGGCUGUGUGUUUCCCAGCUCCUGCAGCGGUAGGAUGGACCAUGAGUGUGCAUAGGAAGGUGCGUGAAGGCAGGCUAUGCUUUCCUGGGCCAGUUCUCUCCCUCUGAGGCUGCUCCGUGCAGAGCCAGCAGUGUGUGCAGCACUGACCAACGUGGUAUUUGAGAGCUUGAGAUCUCACCGUCUACUUUCUCUUUUCAAUUGCCCUCCCACUGUUGUUCUACAGCAUGCGGUGCCUUCAGCCAUGGUUCAGCUGCCAAAGAAGGUGGGGGAGUGCUGUGCUCCCCAGCUCCAUGCGGACCGGGAGAGAGGCAGAGAAACAGAGGAGGCAGGUGCUAUUCUGCAGGUAAUGAAAGCGAUCAGCUGGCUGGCCAUGCAGCACAGCCCUCCUGCCCUCCCCAGUCCUGCUCCCUGCCUUGCCAGGAGCGCACUUGGGUAGAAAGGUCUGAAAAAUCAGGACAGCUUCUAUUCUAUGGGAACAAAAGGUUUCCUUUGUUGUAAUUCCUCUGUUGGGCUCUGCACGAGGCCCUCGCAUGGGGCCCUGCAGCACGUGCCCUGCAUCAUGGGGACAAAAGCAGAUUACUGCAGGGAUGCCUGAAAAGGAGCCAUGACUUGUUCCCUUGUUGCUACAAUCUUGUUUACAGGCUGAGCUUCGCAGGGAGCAAUUCACACAGGUUUCUUUUGCAUUAUAAUAGUAAAGAUUUUUCUUGGUGGGAGAAAAAAAGAGGAGAGCGGGUGAGGUGAGGAUUUAUCACAGAGCCUUGCCUGAAAUGAUUUAGGCUGUUAAGACCAUUUAUGCUGAAGGAAGUGAUCAGUUUCUGCUUCCCAAACGUCGUCUCCCAGUGCCGUGGGCCUGAUUCAGCAGGGCAGCUCCAUGUGAAGAGAAACGAAGUUGAUGAAGUAUUAGGAGGAGAUGACGGCAGCUAAAGGGGAGUUCAGUGGUUGUCCUUCACUUUUGUCUUCUGUCUUUUCAAGCUUAAGGCAGCAACUUCCAAAAUUCUUCGUGAGCCAAUCAGAGCACUGAUGGAGGGAACACCUUCAGCCACUGCACCUUAACAGCCACCUCGAGUGGCCCUGUGCUGGGUUUUUAAUCAUAUGAUGGCUUUUAAUUGAUGCUUUCUGUAAUAAACGAGGGGCUGCUGUGUUUUCACUGGGUUAUUCACUUGCUUCUGUAGUAGCUUUCAGUUGCAUGAUGCACAAACGGAGUGCAGCCUUCAGAAGUGACCUGUGGGACUUGAGGGCUGAUCCACUGCUACUGAAACGGUAGGACCAAAUUCUGCUGCCUGCUGGAUGCUGGGCCUCAAAGCAGGGAUGCAGAGAGGUGUAGAAAGCAGCAGUGCUCCCUGCUGAGCUCUGUGCAUGGGGCUGCUGCUCAUGGCUGGUGGGACAAAGCACUGCAGUGCAGACUGUGCUGCUGAACGCCAACAUAGGCUGAGCACUGGGGGGGCUGCAGCUCCUUUGAGGGCAGGUAGAGGACUUCCAUUUUAUUUUACUUUCCUUUCCCCUUUCCCCUCCUUUCCUUUUUCCUUUCCGUUUUCCUUUCCCCUCCUUUCCUUUUUCCUUUCCCCUCCUUUCUUUUCCCCUUUCCCCUCCUGUCCUUUUUCCUUUCCCCUUUCCCCUCCUGUCCUUUUUCCUUUCCUUUUUCCUUUCCCUUUCCCCUACUGUCCUUUUUCCUUUCCAUUCCCCUUUCCCUUUCCCCUCCUGUCCUUUUUCCUUUUUCCUUUUCUUUUCCCUUUUCUUUUCCCUUUCCUUUUUCCCUUCCCCUUUCCCCUCCUGUCCUUUUCCUUUUUCCCUUCCCCUUUCCCCUCCUGUCCUUUUCCUUUUUCCUUUUCCCUUUCCUUUUUCCCUUCCCCUUUCCCCUUUCCACUCCUGUCCUUUUCCUUUUUCCCUUUCCUUUUUCCCUUUCCCUUUCCCCUCCUGUCCUUUUCCUUUUUCCCUUUCCUUUUUCCUUUUCUUUUUCCUUUCUUUUCCCCUUUCCCCCCCUGUCCUUUUUCCUUUUUCCUUUUCCCUUUCCUUGUUCCCUUUCCCCUUUUUACUUUCCCCUUUUUUCUUUCCCCUUUUUCCUUUUCCUUGUCUUUUUCCUUUUCUUUUUCCUUUCCCCUUUCCCAUCCUGUCCUCUUUUCCUUUUUCCUUUUCCUUUUCUUUUUCCUUUCCCCUUUCCCCUCCUGUCCCAUUCCUUUUUCCCGUUCCUUUUUCCUUUUCUUUUCCCUUUCC
ensembl:lncRNA